UGUCGGCCUUGCCAUCAGCAGAGAUGGGUCCAGUGGUGGAGUCGUCCGUUUGGCCGCCAUUAACAAAGAUGGCGUCGAGAGAUUUGUGCUGACUGGUAACCAAGUACCCACGUUCUAUGAGGAUUAUUAAGGACAAUGACAGAUCUCUACCAGCCUCUCUUGACUUCCUGCAAAUUAGUGCUCUCAUCUUCGUCCCUCCAUUUCAUUUGUGUAUGUGUAAUAAAUGACAAUGACAUUU
rnacentral:misc_RNA from 1 species